UAAAGUAAAAGUAAUUAAGUCAUAAAUAUAAAUAGUUUUAUUUUAUUUUGAUUAAUAGCGUGCCAGCAAUUGCGGUUAUACGAAUAAAGUUUAUAUUUAAAUUUAAAAAAUUAAAAAGAGGGAAUUUAAGGUUAAAUUUUUUUCUAAGUUUAUUUUUAAUAAAAAGUUUAAUGGGAUUAGAUACCCCAGUAAAAAUAGAAAUGAGUAAGAAAAAAAUAUAUUUAUUGGCGGUUUAAUUAUAAUAGAGAAACUUGUGAAUUAAAUAAAUAUCGCAUUAGUAGUAGUAUUAAAAUUUUUUAAUUUUGUAUGUUCGAUGGAAGUUUCUAAUCUUUGUUUAUUCGGAUACACAUAAAUUAUUUUUUAAGUUUUAUGAGUUGCAGUAUUAAUAUAAAGGAUUAAUUUGAGGAUGAAUCUAUUAGUAAAUUUAAAUUAAUUGAAUUAUUUUUUAAAAGUACAUAUCGCCCGUCAGCUUCAAAUUAAAGUAAGUCGUAACAUAGUGUGUUUAUUGGAAAAUAAACAUG
rnacentral:rRNA from 1 species